rnacentral:misc_RNA from 1 species
GUAGGUGAACCUGCGGAAGGAUCAUUAAUGAAACUUCAAAGUCGGCUUGUCAUCUGUGCUGGUGGAGACACAUGUGCACGUUGCAAGUCGCAAAUCCCACACACCUGUGCACCUAUGACUCUGAGUACCGCUUUGCAUGGGCCCCUCAAAGGCCCUGGUACUCGAGUACUUUUACACACUCUGAAUGUAAUGGAAUGUCUAUUGUACAAUGUACAACCAAAACAACUUUCAACAACGGAUCUCUUGGUUCUG